rnacentral:RNase_P_RNA from 1 species
GUAAUUACUGAUGCUAUCGCUUUUAUACUAAAAAGAGGAAAGUCCGGACACCAUAGAGCAGCAUAGCGGAUAACAUCCGUCUGCCGUAAGGUAAGGAACAGUGCAACAGAAAGAAAGUACAGUUUGGCUGUAGUGAAAUCAGGUAAACUCUAUGCGGUGCAAUACCAUGUAUAUCAAGAUUUAAAAACUGCUCGUUUUUACUUGAGGGGUAGGUAGCUUGAGAUAAAAGGUAACUUUUAUUCUAGAUAAAUGAUAGCACUCUUUUGAGAACAGAAUCCGGCUUAUGUGUAGUUACUGAC